UUGCUCUUCUUGGAUGAGUUGCGAACGGGUGAGUAACGCGUAGGUAACCUGCCUUGUAGCGGGGGAUAACUAUUGGAAACGAUAGCUAAUACCGCAUAACAAUGGAUGACACAUGUCAUUUAUUUGAAAGGGGCAAUUGCUCCACUACAAGAUGGACCUGCGUUGUAUUAGCUAGUAGGUGAGGUAAUGGCUCACCUAGGCGACGAUACAUAGCCGACCUGAGAGGGUGAUCGGCCACACUGGGACUGAGACACGGCCCAGACUCCUACGGGAGGCAGCAGUAGGGAAUCUUCGGCAAUGGGGGCAACCCUGACCGAGCAACGCCGCGUGAGUGAAGAAGGUUUUCGGAUCGUAAAGCUCUGUUGUAAGUCAAGAACGGGUGUGAGAGUGGAAAGUUCACACUGUGACGGUAGCUUACCAGAAAGGGACGGCUAACUACGUGCCAGCAGCCGCGGUAAUACGUAGGUCCCGAGCGUUGUCCGGAUUUAUUGGGCGUAAAGCGAGCGCAGGCGGUUUGAUAAGUCUGAAGUUAAAGGCUGUGGCUCAACCAUAGUUCGCUUUGGAAACUGUCAAACUUGAGUGCAGAAGGGGAGAGUGGAAUUCCAUGUGUAGCGGUGAAAUGCGUAGAUAUAUGGAGGAACACCGGUGGCGAAAGCGGCUCUCUGGUCUGUAACUGACGCUGAGGCUCGAAAGCGUGGGGAGCGAACAG
rnacentral:rRNA from 1 species